rnacentral:lncRNA from 1 species
UUGGUUUUAUCUUAAUCUUAACAAUAAAGGAUCUUGGUAUUUUAGAAAUGCGAUCUCUUGCAUGCAGUUUGAAUUAAAAUAGUUUAAAUUUCUUUACUUUUCAUUGCGUGAUUUUCUUCAGAGGAUUCCUCAGUUCCUAAGGGAGCGGUUACCAGGGCUCCACUAUCGAGUCCUUUGUGGAGGCCCGACUCUGUUGCAUCAUAGAGUACAGGGCCUCAGAGACCU